UGAUCUAAUUGCUGAUUAUUUUUUGUAGUCUUUGUUUUAAAUUUAGUCAAUUUCACCUGUUAAGGUUCUUUGCAUGUAUAUUGAUUUUCUGUGUUAUAUCUUUCUGUUUUACAGCUUUUUUGUAGUCCCACAUUCUGCUUUAAAGAAUCAGGCCUAAUUUACACAAACAGAAGCCUCCAUAACCUUCUAUCUUUGUUCCCCUAAAAAUGUUCCUUUGUCCAUUUUGAUAGAUUUUAUGCAUUUUGAAGUUUUAAUGUGAUUUGCAGGUACUCUGGUAAAAAUCAUCAUCCCAUGCCCACAACUUAAUGAUGAACCAUCACCUGGAGUCGGGAAGGUUGAAGUUUUGUUUUGUCAAUGCUGAUGAGCUUCACAAUGCUCUGUUUGAUGUUAGUUGUAUUUUAUCUUCUCCCUGUCAAUACCUUUGCUUAUUUCUUCUCGUUACUUUUGUGCCUCCAGCUUUGCCAGGCAUUGUACGUCAACAUCUUGUUAUGUCAUUUUUGCAGCAUUAACAAGGUCUGUUUAGCAUGGCUGGGGAAAGAAGCUACUGUUCACUCUGGUACAAGGCAGCACUCUGUUUACAUCCUACAAUUUGCAUAAGUAUCAUAGCAGUUAGUUUAGGAAACCGGUUUGAGGUAGUUUUGCUAUCCUUUGAAUAAUGGCAGUGUGUGGCUGUUGGAUGGAUGAUUGGAUAUGAUCGUGGGUGUUUGUUCGCACACACACCUAAGCAACUUGGAGGCUUGCUUGAGGUUGAUAGGACAUAUGUUGUGAGAAAGGGCUAAUGGAUCCUGGUUCAACAUGAAUAAAUUUUGGAUUACAAUUUAUUCCACACUUUACCACAAUAAUCCUAUAUGGCUAUCUGUAAGUGGUGGACAAAAAAAUGUUUGUGAAAACUAUAGGUAGCCUGUAGCCACUUAAGUCUACCACAUAGGAUAGUUGUGGGAAAUAGUGUGGUAAAAAUUUUGAUCCUAGAGUAACUCGUUCAGUGUAGGUUUGACAUGUUGCUAAGUUCCCCGCCAUAUGGCUUGCCACCCAUGUUAUUGAGUGGUCUUAACUCAGUGGCUGAUGGCUUGGGCGACUUAAUGGGUUUUGCACUUUGUGGCCAAUGGUUAGGAAAAUACUAAAUGUAGUACUAUUACCUAAAGCUCACAAAUUAAUGUGUCCAUAAUUGUGAUUGAUAUUAACUUUAAUUACUGGAUUAAUGUAUGUUUGAAUUGUUUUUUAAUGCUUCACGGCACAUCAGUUUGUAAACUUUAUAUAAUAAAAUUUGUAGCAUCUCUAACA